UCCACCGUUCUUCCCAGCUGCAGAAGCCAC
rnacentral:piRNA from 1 species